rnacentral:rRNA from 1 species
GUGCCAGCAGCCGCGGUAAGACGGAAGGUGCAAGCGUUGCUCGGAAUCACUGGGCGUAAAGGGUGCGUAGGCGGCUUGGUGGGUCUGGUGUGAAAGCCCCGGGCUCAGCCCGGGAAGGGCGCUAGAAACUGCCGAGCUCGAGUGCCGGAGGGGAGAGUGGAAUUCCUGGUGUAGCGGUGAAAUGCGUAGAUAUCAGGAGGAAUACCGGUGGCGAAAGCGACUCUCUGGACGGCAACUGACGCUGAGGCACGAAAGCGUGGGGAGCAAACAGGAUUAGAAACCCCUGUAGUCC